rnacentral:rRNA from 1 species
CCUGGUUGAUCCUGCCAGUAGUCAUAUGCUUGUCUCGCAGAUUAAGCCAUGCAUGUCUAAGUGUAAAUAUUUUACAGUGAAACUGCGAAUGGCUCAUUACAACAGUUAUUGUUUGCUUGGAGAAUCGUCCUACGGAUAUCCGUGGAAAAUCUACAGUUAAUACGUAUCGGCUUCUUCGGAAGUGUUGCAUAUUACUGUGAACUCUCCGGCAGGGGCAACCCUGUCUUUAAUGAACACUUGUAUGCGCGCAUCGUAUAUCUUAUACGAGCGUCCAUCAAAGUUUCUGCCCCAUCAGGUUCCGACGGUAGGGUAUUGGCCUACCGUGCCGAUAACGGGUAACGGGGGAUUAGGGUUUGAUUCCGGAGAGGUAGCAUGAGAAUUGGCUACCACAUCUAAGGAAGGCAGCAGGCGCGUAAAUUACCUAUCCCUGACGCAGGGAGGUAGUAAACAGAAAUAAUGACGCAUGAUUAUAAUCGUGCGAUCGGAAUGAGUGAACUUUAAACAAGUUCACGAAAACAAUUGGAGGGCAAGUCUGGUGCCAGCAGCCGCGGUAAUACCAGCUCCAAUAGCGUAUAUUAUUGAUGUUGCAGUUAAAAUGUUCGUAGUCGACCUUUAUCCACUAAGGCGGUGCUUCGGUUUUACUGUUCACUGCCCUCAGCGGAGAUCGUGCAAACUGCAUCACACGUUUCGUGUGUUGCGUUUGCAUUCUACUUUGAGUGAAUCGGCGUGUUCCACGCAGGCAAGUGCCUUGAACGAUUUACCAUAGGAUAGAAAGAGUAUGAAAUCGCUUUCUUGUUUGUUCGGAAGCGUUUUCUACACUGAUAAGAACGGUUGAUGGCAUUCGUAUUCAACUGCCAGAGGUGAAAUUCUUUGAUUAGUUGAGGACGAACAACUGCGAAAGCAUCUGCCAAGGACGUGUCUUUUGAUCAAGAACGAAAGUUAGGUGAUCGAAGAUGAUUAGAUACCGUUGUAGUCCUAACCAUAAACUUUGCUGUCCAAGAAUUGGAUCGGUGACUUUACGCCCUUCCAGUGCUUUCUGAGAAAUCACAAGUCUUUGAGUUCUGGGGGGAGUAUAGUUGCAAGGCCGAAACUUAAAGGAAUUGACGGAAGGGCACCACCAGGAGUGGAGCUUGCGGCUUAAUUUGACCCAACACGGGAAAACUCACUAGGACAAGACAUCAGAAGGAUUGACAGAUUGAUCGCUCUUUCUUGAUUUGAUGGGUGGUGGUGCAUGGCCGUUCUUAGUUCGUGGGCUAACCUGUCUGGUUAAUUCCGAUAACGAACGAGACCUUGACUUGCUAAUUGGGCAGAGUAUUCUAUACUCUAACCUUUUAGAAGGACUAUGUGUUCCCAACACAAGGAAGCGCGAGGCAAUAACAGGUCUGUGAUGCCCUUAGAUGUUCUAGGCAGCACGCGUGCUACAAUGAUGCAUAUAGAAAGUUACGCCGUCUGAAAAGAUGGUGCAACCAUCAAUAUGUAUCAACCCAGGGAUUGCUUAUUGGAAUGUUAGCAUCAACGAGGAAUUCCUAGUAAGCGCGUAUCAUCAGUGCGCGCUGAUUACGUCCCUGCCCUUUGUACACACCGCCCGUCGCACCUACUGAUUAGGCUGUAUCAUGAGUUGGACGGAGACAACUUAGUAUAGUUUUCUAUGCUUGGUUGGCGAAGUUCUGCAAAUGGUAUUGCCCAGAAGAAGGUAAAGUCGUAACACGGC